UCAUGCGGCGGUAUCUCGCUCUGAGGCU
rnacentral:sRNA from 1 species